AUUAAAAUGGCGUACAGCAUGUUGUGAAAAUAUGCAGAGUAGAAAAAUGUGGGUUUCAUGACACUUGGACGCAUGCAUGCAGUAUUGUUGUGUUUAAUCUGCAUAAUAAUUAACAUUUAUUAUUAUUGCAUGCGUUUUCAGUAAUAUGCGAUGAAUGGUUCUUCAGACAAUUGUAAUAACCAAUCAGAUUCAAGAGAGGAGUCAGGUGAUUUGGGAAGCCAAUCAGCUGCUGCUUCAGGGUCAGUAAGCCAAACAGCUACAAAAGAGGCGGAGUCUAAGAUCACAAAGGCAGAACCAAGUGACCUAUCAAUUAGCCAGAAUCCACAAAAUUUAAAUUGGAACUUUGAUGACAGUAUGGAG